UACGUAGGGGGCAAGCGUUGUCCGGAUUUAUUGGGCGUAAAGAGCUCGUAGGCGGUCUGUCACGUCGGCUGUGAAAACCUGAGGCUCAACCUCGGGCCUGCAGUCGAUACGGGCAGACUAGAGUUCGGUAGGGGAGACUGGAAUUCCUGGUGUAGCGGUGAAAUGCGCAGAUAUCAGGAGGAACACCGGUGGCGAAGGCGGGUCUCUGGGCCGAUACUGACGCUGAGGAGCGAAAGCGUGGGGAGCGAACAGG
rnacentral:rRNA from 1 species